AAAGAAGAACAGAAUAAUAUGGUUGUGACAAUGGUGGUGUCAUCAACACCGACCACGAUUUUCAAUGAUCAUGAAGAGGAAAAAGGGAAGGGAGACAACGUCGAUGGCAAUUAAUGGAGAUGCGCCUGUCGGUUAUUCAUUUCGGCUAGUUUUCGCCACUUUCCGGCGGCAGGCGCGAUGGAUUGACAGGAAAAAGAGGGGGCUGGUGGGAUGGUGCGGUGGCGAGGAUCGUUCUCCGAUGGAGUUGUUUCCACCGUUGUGGUCUUAAUUUUUGCCAGAUCUGGCUGGUUGGUAGAUGGAUGGCAAUGGGAAAGAGAAAAAAGGGGCGGUCCAGCGCGGGAAAGGGGAAGAAAGGGGAUGGUCCAGUUGGUUUUGGGUAGGUUUUCGGUCAGUUUUCGGUGAGUUUUUGCUGAAAAAUUCAUAAACUAUGAAUCUUAUUAUAUUUUUUUUUCGAUCACUCUUUCUCAAACCUCCCUUCUUUUAGUCCUUUUUCUCCUUUUUCCUCUCACUGAUUUCUUUUUGGUUAUGUGUGAAUGAAUAUAUUGUACUACUAUGCAUAUUAUU
rnacentral:lncRNA from 1 species